rnacentral:rRNA from 1 species
GUUGAUCUGGCUCAGGACGAACGCUGGCGGCGUGCCUAACACAUGCAAGUCGAGCGAGGAGAUCCUUCGGGAUGAUCCUAGCGGCGGACGGGUGAGUAACACGUGGGCAACCUGCCUCAUAGAGAGGAAUAGCCUUCCGAAAGGGAGAUUAAUACCUCAUAACAUUGCAGUUUCGCAUGGAACAGCAAUUAAAGGAGUAAUCCGCUAUGAGAUGGGCCCGCGGCGCAUUAGCUAGUUGGUGAGGUAACGGCUCACCAAGGCGACGAUGCGUAGCCGACCUGAGAGGGUGAUCGGCCACAUUGGGACUGAGACACGGCCCAGACUCCUACGGGAGGCAGCAGGUGGGGAAUAUUGCACAAUGGGGGAAACCCUGAUGCAGCCAACGCCGCGUGAGUGAUGACGGCCUUCGGGUUGUAAAGCUCUGUCUUCAGGGACGAUAAUGACGGUACCUGAGGAGGAAGCCACGGCUAACUACGUGCCAGCAGCAGC